rnacentral:rRNA from 1 species
UACGUAGGGGGCUAGCGUUGUCCGGAAUCAUUGGGCGUAAAGCGCGUGUAGGCGGCCCGGUAAGUCCGCUGUGAAAGUCGGGGGCUCAACCCUCGGAUGCCGGUGGAUACUGUCGGGCUUGAGUACGGGAGAGGCGAGUGGAAUUCCUGGUGUAGCGGUGAAAUGCGCAGAUAUCAGGAGGAACACCGAUUGCGAAGGCAGCUCGCUGGAACGUUACUGACGCUGAGACGCGAAAGCGUGGGGAGCAAACAGG